rnacentral:rRNA from 1 species
GAUGAACGCUAGCUACAGGCUUAACACAUGCAAGUCGAGGGACCGGCGCACGGGUGAGUUAUACGUAUCCAUCCUGCCCUUUACUCGGGGAUAGCCUUUCGAAAGAAAGAUUACUACCCGAUAUAAAGGAUGGGGAUGCGUUCCCGUAGGUUGUUGGUGAGGUAACGGCCCACCCAGCCUUCGAUGGAUAGGGGUUCUGAGAGGAAGGCCCCCGAGAAUUGAACAGAGACACGGUCCAAACGGGUACGUGAGGCAGCGGGGUGGAAGAUUGGGCAAUGGGCGGUAGCCUGAACCUGCCAAGUAGCGUGAAGGAGGAAGGCUUAUGGGUCGAAAACGUCCGAGAUAGAAGAAGAGGUAUUAGAUGAAUAAGGACCGGCUAACUCCGUGCCAGCAGCCGCGGUAAUUC